rnacentral:rRNA from 1 species
GUGCCAGCCGCCGCGGUAAUACGUAGGUGGCGAGCGUUAUCCGGAUUUACUGGGCGUAAAGCGCUUGUAGGCGGCCUUGUAAGUUGGGCGUKAAARCUCCGGGCUUAACCCGGAGAGGCCGUYCAAUACUGCGAGGCUAGAGGGUGCCAGAGGAAGGUGGAAUUCCUGGUGUAGCGGUGAAAUGCGUAGAUAUCAGGAGGAACACCCGUKGCGAAGGCGGCCUUCUGGGGCAUUYCUGACGCUGAGAAGCGAAACUAGGGGAGCMAACAGGAUUAGAUACCCUGGUAGUUCUAGCCGUUAACGAUGGAUGCUAGGUGUUGGCGGACAAAAACCCGUMAGUGCCGAAGCUAACGCGUUAAGCAUCCCGCCUGGGAGUACGGCCGCMAGCUGAAACUCAAACGGAAUUDACGGGGACCCGCACAAGCAGCGGAGCGUGUGGUUUAAUUCGAUGCUACACGAAGAACCUUACCCCAGGCUUDACAUGCAGGUAGUAGUGAACCGAAAGGGGAACGACCCGCAAGGGAGCCUGMACAGGUGUUGCAUGGCUGUCGUCAGCUCGUGUCGUGAGAUGUUGGCUUAAGUGCCCUAACGAGCGCAACCCUGGCUGCCAUUAACACGUUUCUGGCGGAACUGCCGGUUACAAGCCGGAGGAAGGUGGGGAUGACGUCAAGUCAGCAUGGCCUUUAUGCCUGGGGCAAAACACACGCUACAAUGGGACGGCACAAUGGGUAGCCAAGCGCGAGGCGGAGCCAAUCCUCAAAACGUCCCUCAGUUCAGAUUGCAGGCUGCAACCCGCCUGCAUGAAGUCGGAGUUGCUAGUAACCGCGCGUCAGCCAUAGUGCGGUGAAUACGUUCCCGGGUCUUGCACCACCGCCCGUCAAUCCCGC